UACGGGGGGGGCAAGCGUUGUUCGGAAUUACUGGGCGUAAAGGGCGCGUAGGCGGCUCAUCUAAGUCGAGUGUGAAAGAGCAGGGCUUAACUCUGUCAGGUCGCUCGAUACUAGUGGGCUAGAGUGUGGAAGAGGGUGCUGGAAUUCCUGGUGUAGCGGUGAAAUGCGUAGAUAUCAGGAGGAACACCGGUGGCGAAGGCGGGCAUCUGGGCCAACACUGACGCUGAUGCGCGAAAGCUAGGGGAGCAAACAGG
rnacentral:rRNA from 1 species